UACGUAGGGUGCGAGCGUUGUCCGGAAUUAUUGGGCGUAAAGAGCUCGUAGGCGGUCUGUCGCGUCGGUCGUGAAACUUGGGGCUUAACCCUGAGCUUGCGGUCGAUACGGGCAUGACUGGAGUUCGGCAGGGGAGACUGGAAUUCCUGGUGUAGCGGUGAAAUGCGCAGAUAUCAGGAGGAACACCGGUGGCGAAGGCGGGUCGCUGGGCCGAUACUGACGCUGAGGAGCGAAAGCAUGGGGAGCGAACAGG
rnacentral:rRNA from 1 species